rnacentral:tRNA from 1 species
UGCGCUUUAGUGAAGUGGUUAUCACGGGAAGCUCAUGACUUCCUAUCCCACGUUCAAUUCGUGGAGGCGCAC